rnacentral:lncRNA from 1 species
UUCUUUUUUUUUUUCAUUUUAUUUAUUUAUUUAUUUAUUUUUUCCAUUUUUUAUUAGGUAUUUAGCUCAUUUACAUUUCCAAUGCUAUACCAAAAGUCCCCCAUACCCACCCACCCCCUAUCCCCUACCCACCCACUCCCCCUUUUUGGCCCUGGCGUUCCCCUGUACUGGGGCAUAUAAAGUUUGCGUGUCCAAUGGGCCUCUCUUUCCAGUGAUGGCCGACUAGGCCAUCUUUUGAUACAUAUGCAGCUAGAGUCAAGAGCUCCGGGGUACUGGUUAGUUCAUAAUGUUGUUCCGCCUAUAGGGUUGCAGAUCCCUUUAGCUCCUUGGGUACUUUCUCUAGCUCCUCCAUUGGGAGCCCUGUGAUCCAUCCAUUAGCUGACUGUGAGCAUCCACUUCUGUGUUUGCUAGGCCCUGGCAUAGUCUCACAAGAGACAGCUACAUCUGGGUCCUUUCGAUAAAAUCUUGCUAGUGUAUGCAAUGGUGUCAGCGUUUGGAUGCUGAUUAUGGGGUGGAUCCCUGGAUAUGGAAGUCUCUACAUGGACCAUCCUUUCAUCUCAGCUCCAAACUUUGUCUCUGUAACUCCUUCCAAGGGUGUUUUGUUCCCACUUCUAAGGAGGGGCAUAGUGUCCACACUUCAGUCUUCAUUUUUCUUGAGUUUCAUGUGUUUAGGAAAUUGUAUCUUAUAUCUUGGAAAGUAUAUCCUUGCUUUUGCUAUCGGUUAGAAGAAAAAUGAACUGGAAGAUACUUUUAUCUUUUUUUAGUGCAUAUUAGCUGUCCAAGAUAUUUUGUGACAUUUCAUUAUGCAUAGAAUGUAAUUUGAUAAUGUGAUAAUGUUCACUUUAUUUAUUACCUUUCUCCAUCCCCAAUACCACGAAUGUAUGCUUUGUCUGUUAGGAUACAUUGAACAGACUCUUUUUGUUUGUUUGUUUGUUUUCGAGACAGGGUUUCUCUGGUUAGCCCUGGCUGUCCUUGAACUCACUCUGUAGACCAGGCUGGCCUCAAACUCAGAAAUUCGCCUGCCUCUGCCUCCCAAGUGCUGGGAUUAAAGGCAUGCACCACCACUGCCUGGCUUUGAACAGACUCUUAAUUGGUUUCUCUGUGCCAAGUCUUUUCUUUCUUUCAUUUUUUUAUUAUUGAAAAAAGAAUUUUUUAUACAAUAUAUUCUGAUUAUAUUUUUUCCCUCUUCCAUUUCCUCCCAGAUCCCUACUACCUUCAUACCCAUCCAGUGUAUACCAUUUAUCUUUCUCUGAAAAACAAGAAAACCAGGUGAUAGCCAGCAGUAGUGGCACACACACACCUUUGGUACCAGCAGUCCAGGAGGCAGAGGCAGGUGAAUCUCUGAGUUCAUAGCCUGCCUGGUCUACAGAGUGAGGUCCAGGACAGGACAGCCAAGGCUACACAGAGGAAUCCCUGUCUCAAAUAAACAAACAAAACC